rnacentral:ribozyme from 1 species
AGUCGUCUGAGCGACUUAAAAUAGGCUUUAAGCUCAGAGCGUAGCCCUUCGGGGCUGGGUAGUU